UAUGACCUUGGACAAAUCACCUUAAUCUCAAUUUAUUGUCAGUUCCCAGGUCUUGCUAUGGGCUUACUAAGCGAGCUAACAAAGUUACAGUGACUAUUACCUUCUGCUAGAUCUGGAUGGGAGGCAUCACUGUUACUUGCACAACCCUGUGUUCUGAAUAUAAAAUGAUUUUCUUUGCAGCACUACGCAGCUCAAUCACAGUAAGCUCCCUUUGCAUCCACUAAUACAGCUCGAUACAGGGCAGUGUACAAUAACUGUAUCCUAGGCACAAAGCAUGAGUUUCAUUGUUUUUAACAAUAAUACAGAAACCUUUCUGUUUGUUUCCAAAGUUCAAAUAGCAGCAGUGGUAUGAAACAGCUUUGUCUUGGAGAAACAUGUGGUGCAUUGAUAUGCAAAUAAGUACACCCUGUGCUUCAGCAAGUGCCAAGAAGAGGCCAGAAGUGUGCCAAACAUUUUCAGAAAUGUGGAAAAACAUCAUUCUCUGGACAGAAUACUGA
rnacentral:lncRNA from 1 species